GUCAAAGGGGCCCUGAAUCCUCCCGCAGGGAGAGAGCUACACGUCCACCUGGGCUCCGAGGACAGACCCAGGUUGUGGGGACACAGGCUGCCUGCAGGGGGCGAGAUGUUCCUUUGGUGCUGCUGGGCUGUGACUAUGAGCAGAAACAAAAAUAGAAGCUGAGAUCAACGGAAAGGAAUGAGACUGAACAAACAUAUAUAUUAAUCCUGACAGGACGCAUACUAAAAUAACAUUCCCAAACACGGCAGUAAGAAAGGAUGAACUAUGAGAAGAAUGCGCAGAUAAAUGAAUGAAACUUCGGAGGACAAAAAUAUGAUUUCAGGAAACAGGCUGUGCCUUGGCCAUCCGCCCAUCUUGCAUUGGCCUUAGACACAAAUCACAGAGUAGAGAGCAACUGUCUGGAGGGGGUCUUCGGUCACCCCACCCAAGGGGAGACAUGUCCCACUGUCCCAUUGCAGUGGCCUCAGGGACAGGAGAUCAAGACCUACCUGUUGUGAUGAAUAAAUCCAGGCUUUCAGCAACACAGGAAGAAGCAGUUUACAACACCAUGGCAACCCCGUAACUGCACAGACCAAGCACCAAGGAACAAGCAUUUGUUUCUAACACUGUGUGACAGACCAGUUGCAUACAACUGACAAGUGAGCAGCUGAGAGUGGGCAGUGAUUGCCCUGGGCCCUUCCCACUCGCUGCAGGUCCAAGCCAGAUUCCAAGCCUUCUGCCUACGACUUGCAAUUGAAUUUGAUGUCUGCACUGGCCCUUGCUAAUCCUUAAGGUUUGAGCUUUUGUUUACCCUCUGGACAAUUCGGUUAGCAUCUCCUUCUCCAGUUUCAGCUUUCACGUUAAACCCCAAACUCAGCCUUCUUGGCAAGUCCUCCAGUCAACCUCACACCAGCAACACCCUUGGGGCUCUGCCGCAAAUAUGCAUACUACUUCUGUUGGGAAGGGAGCUAGAUUCUUCCUGGUCCUGUCUGGGCACCAAGGAGUGAGAAAGAUAGAGAAGAAGCUUCCCUGCCAAAGAGGAAGAGAUGCUCAGCUCCGAAGUAGCUCUGCCCUCCACCACCAGCCUCCAGCUCUGUCUCCGCGGGGGCCACUCAGCAUUUGGGGAUUAGGAGAUAGGAAGGGACCUAAGGGCACCUGCCGGUAGUAAUGCUCAAGUCUCAGGCACAAGGGCCUGGACACACAGAAGGUAGCACCAGGAAAACUGGGGACAGGAGGAUGGUGCAGGGGACAUGAGGGACAGUGCCUAGAUCUGGCCUGCUAAAGGAGCAGACAGCAGAGCUAGUGUUGUAGCAAGAACAGCUGCUCCAGGCCCUUGCCAGGAGAAGAUAGGGCUCCAAAGAGGACAACGUUGCCAUAGUGUCACAAGUCCUUGUCUUCUUUUCUUCCCAGCGUUGUUGUGACUCAUUCCUUGAUUGACAAAGCCUAGGAUCUCUUAUAUACAUUCCUUUCAUCUGCUCAUUCAUCAAUAUUUUCAGCUUUUGUCUGAACAAGAAUAAACAGAAAUUCGUAUUUCUCAGAAGUUUGCUUAUUGCAGAAUUGAAACCUAGAAACGGAAAACGUGAACCUGGCAGUGAAACCGGCUUCACUGAAAUGAAACACGCUAUGCUCUUGCUACCCUAGUACCCGGCACAGUUGGAUUCCUCUGGGUCUUGUUCAUGAUGAUGGAUCCCACUGCCUAGGAAACCCUUCUGCCUCAUCCACUUGGCAAACUCUUAUCCAUCUUUCAAGCCCUAAGUCAGGUGUCACCGCUCCUGGGAACAGCAACACCCACCUCUGUAUCCCAUGGAUUAAUUGCUUACCAUUUGGCCCUCAUAAGGACCUGUGUUUGCCACAAAAUAUUAUUUUAUUUUACAUGGUUAGUUGUUUCUGCUUAAUACCGCCACUAAACUGUGUACAAUGGAGAAGGAGGAAGGAUUAUCUUGUCUGUAUUUGUAUCUGUGUACUAGCACUUGCUAGUAACUGCUCAGCAUUCAGGUACCAGGAGUUAGAGAGAGACCUGGGGUUGACAUUGCUCAAGUCUCAGCCACAGAGGCCUGGGCGUAGAGGAGACAGCACCAGGAACACUGGGAGAAGGAGGAUGGCACAGGAGACAUGAGGGUGCAAGGACUAGCACAGUGCAAAUCCUUAAAAUAAAUGCUGCACAUGAUGGCUCACUCACACCUGCGAUCCCAGCACUUUGGGAGACCAAGGUGGGCUGAUGGCUUAAGCACAGAGCUUUGAGACCAACCUGGACAGCAUGUCAAAAUCCCAUUUCAAAAAACAAAUAAAAAUUAGCCAAGCAUGGUGGCAGGAGCCUGUAGUCCCAACUACUCAAGAGGCUGAGGUGUGACGAUGGCUUGAGCCUGAGUGAUUGAGACAGCAGUAAGCCAGGAUCACGGCACUGCAUUCUAGCCUGGGCAACAGAGUGAGGCUGUCUCAAAAUAUAGAAAUAAAUUUUUUUAAAUGAUGAUUGAAAUAAAUGAACCAAAAAAAAUUCAAUCAACAAAAUAAACAUAAGAGCCAUUUCACUGUAUGCUUUGGUCCAUUCGAUGUCAGAGCCAGGAAUCUAAUUGGGAAGCAGGUCAUAGAGCCAGAUCCUCUGUCUUCCCCAGCUUCAGUAUUUUGCUCCAUCUCUUAACAAGGAGGCUUAAGGCCGGGCAUGGAGGAUCAUGCCUGUAAUCCCAGCACUUUGGGAGGGCGAGGCAGGAGGAUUGUUUGAGGUUAGGAAUUUGAGGCCAGCCUGGGCAAUAUAGCAAGACCCCAUCUCUACAAAAAAUUUAAAAAUUAGCUAGGCAUGGUGGUGCAUGCCUGUAGUCCUACUACUCUGGAGGCUGAGGCAGGAGGAUAACUUGAGCCUAGGCAUUUGAGGCUGCAGUGAGCCAUGACUGUGCCACUGCACUCCAGCCUGAAUGACAGAGUGAGACCCUACCUCCAAAAAUUAAUAAUAAUAAUAAAGAAUGAGGAGGCUUGAAGUACAACCUUUUCCCAAUUUCAAAUACAAAUUUAAGACUCCUCAUGGGCUUUUAGGCCGGGCGUGGUGGCUCAAGCCUGUAAUCCCAGCACUUUGGGAGGCCGAGGGGGUGGAUCACAAGGUCAAGAGAUCGAGACCAUCCUGGUCAACAUGGUGAAACCCCGUCUCUACUAAAAAUACAAAAAAUUAGCUGGGCAUAGUGUCA